rnacentral:rRNA from 18 species
UGACUGCGUACCUUUUGUAUAAUGGGUCAGCGACUUAUAUUCUGUAGCAAGGUUAACCGAAUAGGGGAGCCGGAGGGAAACCGAGUCUUAACCGGGCGUUAAGUUGCAGGGUAUAGACCCGAAACCCGGUGAUCUAGCCAUGGGCAGGUUGAAGGUUGGGUAACACUAACUGGAGGACCGAACCGACUAAUGUUGAAAAAUUAGCGGAUGACCUGUGGCUGGGGGUGAAAGGCCAAUCAAACCGGGAGAUAGCUGGUUCUCCCCGAAAGCUAUUUAGGUAGCGCCUCGUGAAUUCAUCUCCGGGGGUAGAGCACUGUUUCGGCUAGGGGGCCAUCCCGGCUUACCAACCCGAUGCAAACUGCGAAUACCGGAGAAUGUUAUCACGGGAGACACACGGCGGGUGCUAACGUCCGUCGUGAAGAGGGAAACAACCCAGACCGCCAGCUAAGGUCCCAAAGUCAUGGUUAAGUGGGAAACGAUGUGGGAAGGCCCAGACAGCCAGGAUGUUGGCUUAGAAGCAGCCAUCAUUUAAAGAAAGCGUAAUAGCUCACUGGUCGAGUCGGCCUGCGCGGAAGAUGUAACGGGGCUAAACCAUGCACCGAAGCUGCGGCAGCGACACUGUGUGUUGUUGGGUAGGGGAGCGUUCUGUAAGCCUGUGAAGGUGUGUCGUGAGGCAUGCUGGAGGUAUCAGAAGUGCGAAUGCUGACAUAAGUAACGAUAAAGCGGGUGAAAAGCCCGCUCGCCGGAAGACCAAGGGUUCCUGUCCAACGUUAAUCGGGGCAGGGUGAGUCGACCCCUAAGGCGAGGCCGAAAGGCGUAGUCGAUGGGAAACGGGUUAAUAUUCCCGUACUUGGUGUUACUGCGAAGGGGGGACGGAGAAGGCUAUGUUGGCCGGGCGACGGUUGUCCCGGUUUAAGCGUGUAGGUGUGUGUUCCAGGUAAAUCCGGUUCACUUUAACACUGAGGCGUGACGACGAGGCACUACGGUGCUGAAGCAACAAAUGCCCUGCUUCCAGGAAAAGCCUCUAAGCAUCAGGUAACAUCAAAUCGUACCCCAAACCGACACAGGUGGUCAGGUAGAGAAUACCAAGGCGCUUGAGAGAACUCGGGUGAAGGAACUAGGCAAAAUGGUGCCGUAACUUCGGGAGAAGGCACGCUGACACGUAGGUGAAGUGAUUUACUCAUGGAGCUGAAGUCAGUCGAAGAUACCAGCUGGCUGCAACUGUUUAUUAAAAACACAGCACUGUGCAAACACGAAAGUGGACGUAUACGGUGUGACGCCUGCCCGGUGCCGGAAGGUUAAUUGAUGGGGUCAGCGCAAGCGAAGCUCCUGAUCGAAGCCCCGGUAAACGGCGGCCGUAACUAUAACGGUCCUAAGGUAGCGAAAUUCCUUGUCGGGUAAGUUCCGACCUGCACGAAUGGCGUAAUGAUGGCCAGGCUGUCUCCACCCGAGACUCAGUGAAAUUGAACUCGCUGUGAAGAUGCAGUGUACCCGCGGCAAGACGGAAAGACCCCGUGAACCUUUACUAUAGCUUGACACUGAACAUUGAGCCUUGAUGUGUAGGAUAGGUGGGAGGCUUUGAAGUGUGGACGCCAGUCUGCAUGGAGCCGACCUUGAAAUACCACCCUUUAAUGUUUGAUGUUCUAACGUGGACCCGUUACCCGGGUUGCGGACAGUGUCUGGUGGGUAGUUUGACUGGGGCGGUCUCCUCCUAAAGAGUAACGGAGGAGCACGAAGGUUGGCUAAUCCUGGUCGGACAUCAGGAGGUUAGUGCAAUGGCAUAAGCCAGCUUGACUGCGAGCGUGACGGCGCGAGCAGGUGCGAAAGCAGGUCAUAGUGAUCCGGUGGUUCUGAAUGGAAGGGCCAUCGCUCAACGGAUAAAAGGUACUCCGGGGAUAACAGGCUGAUACCGCCCAAGAGUUCAUAUCGACGGCGGUGUUUGGCACCUCGAUGUCGGCUCAUCACAUCCUGGGGCUGAAGUAGGUCCCAAGGGUAUGGCUGUUCGCCAUUUAAAGUGGUACGCGAGCUGGGUUUAGAACGUCGUGAGACAGUUCGGUCCCUAUCUGCCGUGGGCGCUGGAGAACUGAGGGGGGCUGCUCCUAGUACGAGAGGACCGGAGUGGACGCAUCACUGGUGUUCGGGUUGUCAUGCCAAUGGCACUGCCCGGUAGCUAAAUGCGGAAGAGAUAAGUGCUGAAAGCAUCUAAGCACGAAACUUGCCCCGAGAUGAGUUCU